rnacentral:rRNA from 1 species
CACGUAGGGCGCAAGCGUUGUCCGGAAUUAUUGGGCGUAAAGAGCUCGUAGGCGGACUGUCACGUCUGCUGUGAAAAGCUGGGGCUUAACCCUGGCCUUGCAGUGGAUACGGGCAGACUAGAGUGCGGUAGGGGAGACUGGAAUUCCCGGUGUAGCGGUGAAAUGCGCAGAUAUCGGGAGGAACACCGGUGGCGAAGGCGGUUCUCUGGGCCUGACCUGACGCUGAGGAGCGAAAGCGUGGGGAGCGAACAGG